AGACAUGCUCUUUUCAUACUCAUUUGGGCCGUCUCAGGCCCUACUACUUGGUUUUUGGUCCCAAAGAUCUCAGCCCACUGAAAUCGCAAUUGGCCUUUCUUAGUUGGAUUCGCAGUCACCGGAGCCAUAAUCACCAAGCUUUCCCUCGGUUUCUCUGGUAACUCUCCUCCUCAAUUUUCUUCUUCUUUCUCAAUCUGAUUUGCCUUCACUUUCGUAUUCGCAGAGGAGGAUGCUAACAAGUCAAAAUUCGUUCAGGCGCACAACAGGGAAGCAAAUGUCAUUGUACCAUUCAAUACUUCAUCAUUGACAAUAGUAGCAAUUCAAAGCUCAUGAUCAUUUUCGACAUUCUUUCUUGGUUCAGUUCUUUAUCAGCUCCAUCUCUGUCUAAUGUGAAAUGUCAGCUCCAUUGAUAUGGCUUUAAUGAAAUGCUAAAAGUGUGUUGGCAUUUAAACUUGGUUGUCACUCAUGUCUUAUAUUGUGGAUGAGCAUACAAAUUCAGCAGUUAGUUUGAUUUGCUACUAAAUAGAAGAUACUGGAUGAGUAGUGGGUUAAUGGGUUUGGCAAGUGGUGAUAAUUUGUGUGUACUAUUGGUUGGUCUUUACUUUUUAUAAUGAGCUACCAAACAAAUUUAAAAAUUGCAACACAUUCGCAUGCAAAUUUUGGACAUAUAAUACAGGCAUGGAUGUAGCAAACUUGAUUUCUUUUUCAGCUAAAUUUUUAAAUAUUAUAUAAAAAAUAAGAGAGUAUAUAUAAUGAAUAAUUGAUUAAUAAGUAUUUAAAAUUUUCAUCUAUCAAAAUCUUGUAUGUUGCGUUCUAAGGUAAGCUUAAGGAAGAAAAGUACAAAAAACAAACCCUAGCAGAGUACUAAAAUAGCAAAGAUGUAAUAAAAGGGAAUAUUCUCAUUAAUGGUCAUAAAAAGUCUCUGGUACAAGGUGAUGACCUUCCCUUUUAUAGAGGGGUAUGGUCAUGACAUGGACUUUUCCUACAUUUGGGCCUGACAAUCAGGGCCCAAAUCCCUAUGCACAUAAGACAAAUCCAAGAGAAUCUUCCAGCUGGCUUACGGGCCCACUUAAAGGGGGCGAGAAUCCUCGGUAUUUCGUCAAUUCCCGCCAUGUCUUCCUUCGUCCAGCUGAUUGCUUGUUUUGGGCGGGCAUGGAGGUCUUUAUGUCCCGCCCAGUCCAUUGUCUUAUGCUUCUUCAUAGUGCAACACAGUCUACAUUACUUUUUCAUUGUUCUGUCCUGUACUUAUGCAUAUCAUGAUAUCAAACUGCUCACAGUUAUAUGAGUUUAUAUCCUGUGACUCAGUAAUAGAAGUUUAUAUCCUGUGACUCAGUAACUUGUGCUGUACUCUUCUGUUUCUUAAGCGGUCCUUUUGAUGAAGUAUCAAAUGCAUCCCUCAAGUUGAUGAAUAUAAAGUAUUAGAUGGACAGUAAACUUGUUAAUUUGUUACUUUACCAAAGUGUGAUGUUUUG